GACGAACGCUGGCGGCGUGCUUAACACAUGCAAGUCGAACGGAAAGGCCCUGCUUUUGUGGGGUGCUCGAGUGGCGAACGGGUGAGUAACACGUGAGUAACCUGCCCUUGACUUUGGGAUAACUUCAGGAAACUGGGGCUAAUACCGGAUAGGAGCUCCUGCUGCAUGGUGGGGGUUGGAAAGUUUCGGCGGUCGGGGAUGGACUCGCGGCUUAUCAGCUUGUUGGUGGGGUAGUGGCUUACCAAGGCUUUGACGGGUAGCCGGCCUGAGAGGGUGACCGGCCAAACUGGGACUGAGAUACGGCCCAGACUCCUACGGGAGGCAGCAGUGGGGAAUAUUGCACAAUGGGCGGAAGCAUGAUGCAGCAACGCCGCGUGCGGGAUAGCGGCCUUCGGAUUGUAAACCGCUUUCGCCUGUGACGAAGCGUGCGUGACGGUAAUGGGUAAAGAAGCACCGGCUAACUACGUG
rnacentral:rRNA from 1 species